CAUACACUCCCAGGUCUUUCUCUCCCUCUGUGGUGGAUAGUGGAGUGUUUCUCAUGUGGUAUUGGUAUGCUGGAUAUCCCUUCACUGGUAGCCUGGUAACAUACACUCCCAGGUCUUUCUCUGCCUUUGUGGUGGAUAGUGGAGUGUUUCCCAUGUGGUAUUGGUAUGCUGGAUAUCCCUUCACUGGUAGCCUGGUAACAUACACUCCCAGGUCUUUCUCUGCCUUUGUGGUGGAUAGUGGAGUGUUUCUCAUGUGGUAUUGGUAUGCUGGAUAUCCCUUCACUGGUAGCCUGGUAACAUACACUCCCAGGUCUUUCUCUGCCUUUGUGGUGGAUAGUGGAGUGUUUCCCAUGUGGUAUUGGUAUGCUGGAUAUCCCUUCACUGGUAGCCUGGUAACAUACACUCCCAGGUCUUUCUCUGCCUCUGUGGUGGAUAGUGGAGUGUUUCCCAUGUGGUAUUGGUGUGCUGGAUAUCCCUUCACUGGUAGUCUGGUAACAUACACUCCCAGGUCUUUCUCUGCCUUUGUGGUGGAUAGUGGAGUGUUUCUCAUGUGGUACUGGUCAGUUUUUGCCUGUGUCUUUACUGAGUUGGAAAUAGAACUUAGAACCAUUGCUACGAGUUCUUCCUGUCUAACACUAAAUUCCACUUGUGAAAACGAAGAAUAAAAAGAGGAGUAGGAGGAUGAGAGGGGAAGAAGGAGGAG